rnacentral:sRNA from 1 species
CUAUGCUUGUGCCUAUAUGAGCAAUAUUAGCAAUCAUUUUCCUGUUCUGUCGCCGUACUAUUUCUUCCAGAUUCACGGCCCGGACACUACGUCCCCAGCGAUCCGCCCAAUCAGGCGCUUCGCGGCCCGCCGAUCCCACCGGAUCGUGCCGGCCCCCGGGCUACGCACUGCCCAGAAGGCGGAGCGAGGUGAGCCGGCGCCAACAGCGACGAGCAGGACGAGAUUCACGAAGGGAGGCUGACGAGCCUCCCU